AUUGAACGCUGGCGGCAUGCUUUACACAUGCAAGUCGAACGGCAGCGCGGGCUUCGGCCUGGCGGCGAGUGGCGAACGGGUGAGUAAUACAUCGGAACGUGCCCAGUAGUGGGGGAUAGCUCGGCUAAAGCCGGAUUAAUACCGCAUACGACCUGAGGGCGAAAGCGGGGGAUCUUCGGACCUCGCGCUUUUGGAGCGGCCGAUGGCGGAUUAGCUCGUUGGUGGGGUAAAGGCCUACCAAGGCGACGAUCUGUAGCUGGUCUGAGAGGACGACCAGCCACACUGGGACUGAGACACGGCCCAGACUCCUACGGGAGGCAGCAGUGGGGAAUGUUGGACAAUGGGCGAAAGCCUGAUCCAGCAAUGCCGCGUGUGUGAUGAAGGCCUUCGGGUUGUAAAGCACUUUUGGCGGGAACGAAAAGGACUGUGCCAAUACCACGGUUCGAUGACGGUACCCGCAGAAUAAGCACCGGCUAACUACGUG
rnacentral:rRNA from 1 species